rnacentral:rRNA from 1 species
GGGCGGGAGCAGUGGGUAAUUUUCCUCAAUGGCCGAAAGCCUGACGGAGCAAUACCGCGUGAGGGAGGAAGGCUCUUGGGUUGUAAACCUCUUUUCUCAAGGAAGAAGCAAUGACGGUACUUGAGGAAUCAGCAUCGGCUAACUCCGUGCCAGCAGGCGCGGUAAUACAGAGGAAGCGAGCGUUAUCCGGAAUGAUUGGGCGUAAAGAGUGUGUAGGUGGCAAUGCAAGUCUGCUGUCAAAGGCUGGGGCUUAACUCCAGACAGGCAGUGGAAACUGCAUCAGCUAGAGUGCGGUAGGGGCAGAGGGAAUUCCCGGUGUAGCGGUGAAAUGCGUAGAGAUCGGAAAGAACACCAACGGGGAAAGCACUCUGCUGGGCCGACACUGACACUCAGAGACGAAAGCUAGGGGAGCGAAUGGGAUUAGAUACCCCAGUAGUCCUAGCCGUAAACGAUGG